GUAAGUGUGACUGACUCCAUGACCCCAAAAUGGAACCCAAAGCUGAAAAAUGUAGCUCAGCAUGGAGCUGUUACCUGUCUUGCUUUGUGUAGGUCUGACUGAUUGACUUGAGUGUUUGCUCCAUCUACUUUCCCUCUGUCUUAGUUUCAGCUGCUAUAACAAACACUGUAGACUGGGGGGCUUAGACAAUGAUUUAUUUCUCACAGUUCUGCAGGCCGAGAAGUCCAAGAUCAAGAUGCUGGCUGAUCAAAGUUCCUGGUCAGCUGUGCCGUGGGUGAUCUAAGUGGGCACAGGUAGGCGCCUCUCCUCCAGGUAUGCUUCGCGGGUGCGUGGGUCAGUUGGAGCAACUCGGCUUCAAGCCACAGUUUGUGUUCAGGUUACUUCAGGAAUACGUGUAAGAAAUUGAGAUGCUGCCUCUUCCGUGAUGUCACACUGGAGAGAAAAAUCCAGACUGGACAGAAAUGGUGGAUUGAAAGGAAUUGUGGAUGAACACCUAGAAUCCUCUGGUAUUCCGAUUACUGCACACAUACAUGCUGGGCAGUGACUGGAGAGCUGAGAAGAGAGGAAAAGGAAAAGGCUGAGGGUACAAGAGCUCUGAGCUUGGUGAGUUUUAGUGUCUUAAGUGAACCCAUCAAGGAGAAGGAGCCUAUUGCUUGCACAAGGCUCCACCACCUCCUGGAUAGCAAAGAAUUGAUUUACUGGGUGCUUUUUCUAUAUAUAUGCCUACUGUGGUUAGAUUGUAUUGGUAAUUCAAAUAUAUUAGAUGUAUUAUAUUAACUUUUAUCAACAAAUCAAGAAUCGCUGACUGUAUUUCUGUCAUGUGCAAGAUACCUUGACCAGGGAUGCCACUCUCCCCACUUGCUGCAUAGCUAGCACUUUCUCUUCCUUCUGUGGGAUGACCUCCAACAUCCCCUCCAGAGGCUAUCCUGAAGCAUCUCAUUGGAAGUCGGUCUCUUCUUCUCUACCAUUUCUUACCUGAGGCCCUUGUCCCUACCUAACCAUAAUGAUAAUCGACAAUCCGUUCAUUUAUCUGCUAUUUGUUGGCCAUCUCUAGAAGGGCAGGACCAGCAUCAAUAUCCUUGAUGCUUGGUGCAGUGUCUGGCAUGUAAGUGAAGUAAAAUGUGUAGGAUGACUAGAUACACACAAAGCAUAAUAUGAAAUUAAAUCAGAUCCCUUCCUUUUUCUUAAAACUUGACAAUAUUGGGAAGAGCCAUGUAUACAGAUAAGUAACAAAAAGAAGCAUGGCAACAUAAUUCCUUUUAAAAAUGAUGCAACUCAUAGAAAGAGCUGCAGGUGAUCUUGGUGCAUGUACAGGUGGGUACCAUGGUUUUCCAGAUGAGUAGAAAAAGCAGGGAAUAGGUUUGUGGUAGAAGUAGGAGCACAGCCUCAUGAACAACGUUCUUCCCAUUCACUGUUCUUUGGCCUCCAGGUAGGAUAUGUGAGUGAGUGAUGAGUGAUAUGUGUGUGUGUGUGUGUGUGUGUGUGUGUGUGUGUGUGUGUCUAGCCGCAGCCUGAAUUGGCACAUGGAGAGCUACCGUACUUGAGAUGUGUUGCACUGGAUUUCUUCGGGUCUUUGUUUUUGUUUUUGUUUUUGUUUUUGUUUUGAGGCAGAGUCUUGCACUUUCA